GAAAGCCUGAGCAUAUUUCAGGAGUGGGAAGGACACUGUGCAGAGCCUGGGCCUGUCUCUAGAAGAAGGAGAGGAGAUAUUCCCAAUGUGGAGAAGGCGAGACAGGCUGGACGAUUCUUUCCCCGCUCUGUCUUUUGGGAGAGGUUUCCCUUUGUCAUGACGCUGCGCACGUGGUGUAAGCAGCAGGAAGAAGAGUCAUCUCCGUGUGGAACAAUCAGGAAGACCUCCAACCACAUGGCACUGCUGAGAGCUGGUGACUUCCUACUGUGUCGGAGCAGACGAUGUGGCUUGCUCAUCACCCAGUGCGUGAUGACACAGGCUGUCAGCUAGUGUUAGGGCCUGUGUGGCUGCUAGUUUUCCUAGGAAGGACACAGAAGUCCAGACAAAGGGACCCUUGAGGGAGGGAACACCAGGAAUUCAUGGCAUUUUGUGGAAAACCUUAAAAUAGUUUCCUUGGAGUAAAAGUGUUUUGCAUCAUCAGAAAGUUUCAUUUGUCCUUGGGAUUCUGUUACCUGAUAAACCAAAAAAUGAAAACUUA